rnacentral:tRNA from 1 species
CCUGGUGGUCCAGAUGGUAAUGAAUCUGCCUGCAAUGCAGGAAACCUGGGUUCUAUCCCUGCAUCAGGA